rnacentral:rRNA from 1 species
UACGUAGGGUGCGAGCGUUGUCCGGAUUUAUUGGGCGUAAAGAGCUCGUAGGCGGUGUGUCACGUCGGCCGUGAAAACCUGCAGCUUAACUGUGGGCGUGCGGUCGAUACGGGCAUCACUGGAGUUCGGCAGGGGAGACUGGAAUUCCUGGUGUAGCGGUGAAAUGCGCAGAUAUCAGGAGGAACACCGGUGGCGAAGGCGGGUCUCUGGGCCGAUACUGACGCUGAGGAGCGAAAGCGUGGGGAGCAAACAGG